UAUCAUUUUUUUCCAUUCUUUCUUCUUCAACCGUGGGAAAGAACUGAAAAUGGCAGCCAUGGAUGAGCUCCAUUCAGCCAAGCUUCUAUGGCUUAUAUAGAGUUCCAGGUUAGCUCGGGUUGGAAGCCGUCAGAGAUAUUAUCACCCUAUCGAGUUAACAUUAUCGGAGUAAGUAAACUCAAGUGAUUCGAGUCUAUGGCAUGUAUAGGGUUUUAAUGUGAGUAUGUAAUAUUAUGAUUUAGCCAAAGGCAUUGGCUUGUUAUUAAGGUAGUAUUAGUCAUGUAAAUUGGCCUAUGUCGGCUAAUGACGUUAUGGGCCCAUAUGAUUAUUCUUAUGCAUUUAUGUUAUUAUUUCUUGUGAUGUGGCUUACAACAUGUAUGCCUAGAGAUUGAAUUGAGAUUCAUUGAUGAGCUAGUAACUAAUGCAGGAUUAAGUGAUUGGUAAAUAGUUAAUAA